CCCGGGGGCUAGUCUUGUUUUUCGGGAAUACAAUUGCUUCAAAUCUGUGCGUUUCGAGUAUGGGAGUCUUUACCGCCCCUCGUCCUCACCGCCUGAUUAAACAAUUGGAGGACUUGGAAAGCUGUUGUUGAACGACGCAG
ensembl:ncRNA T22B2.10 ncRNA